rnacentral:rRNA from 1 species
UMUUGUAGCAAUACAAGGCAGACGGCUCAGUAACGCGUAGUCAACCUACCCUAUGGACGGGRAUAACCUCGGGAAACUGAGWAUAAURCCCGAUAGAACACUAUACCUGGAAUGGUUUGUGUUCCAAAYRAUUUAUYGCCRUAGGAUGGGACUGCGGCCUAUCAGYUUGUUGGUGAGGUAAUGGCCCACCAAGACUAUUACAGGUACGGGCUCUGAGAGGAGUGGCCCGGAGAUGGGUACUGAGACACGGACCCAGGCCCUAUGGGGCGCAGCAGGCGAGAAAACUUUGCAAUGUGCGAAAGCACGACAAGGUUAAUCCGAGUGGUUUCUGCUAAAGGAACCUUUUGACAGUCCUAGAAACACUGUUGAAUAAGGGGUGGGCAAGUUCUGGUGUCAGCCGCCGCGGUAAAACCAGCACCUCAAGUGGUCAGGAUGAUUAUUGGGCCUAAAGCAUCCGUAGCCGGCUCUGUAAGUUUUCGGUUAAAUCUGUACGCUYAACGUACAGGCUGCUGGGAAUACUGCAGRGCUAGGGAGUGGGAGAGGUAGACGGUACUCGGGAGGAAGUGGUAAAAUGCUUUGAUCUCUCGAUGACCACCUGUGGCGAAGGCGGUCUACCAGAACACGUCCGACGGUGAGGGAUGAAAGCUGGGGGAGCAAACCGGAUUAGAUACCCGGGUAGUCCCAGCUGUAAACUAUGCAAACUCAGUGAUGCACUGGCUUAUGGCCNGU